rnacentral:lncRNA from 1 species
UGCGACUACAACCCUCGAGUCCUUCGAGACCCAUGGGUUCGACAUGCGCAACCACAAGAGCCAACCGAGGAGACAUGGCCGGAGAGCCAAGAUCACUAGUGGACAAACCCGCCUUUUCAUACGGGCAGGUACUCCACUGAUCCAUUUGGAGCUUUAGGAUCCAGACCUCCGCCCCAAUUUGAUGCAGGACGAUACUCCGACGCCUCCUACGCUUUCACGAAUGACUACUAUCAAGAGGCCGGUGCUUUCUUCACCCGUACCGACAACACUCUCCUCGACAUCCAGAACACGCAAGCAGAACAUGGAAGACUCCUGGAAGAGCAACAAAAAUGGAACCAGGACCGUGCCACUGCAGUUCAAGAGCUAAGACAAGAUACAACAACAAUGAACGACAACAUCACAACCAUGAUGCGGUUCUGGAACAUCGGGUAAGAUCGACAUCAACAUCUAGCUUGGGGGAGUUCCUCCCCAAUUUAUCAAGUAAGUUUUUAUUUGCUCUUCUUAUUUAUUCUAUUCUGUCUUAGUGUUUUAUCUAUCUUAUAGAGAAAAAACUUAGAAAACCAAAUAAAUAUUUUCUUGCUUUAAUUUACUGCACUUUAUAAACAUAAAAACAAAAUAAAAAGAGUGUGUAGAUAAGUGUGCUUUAUUUAUCUGCUAAGUUUAAUCUCUAGAAAAACAAAAAGACCAAAAAGAUGCAUGAUGGAAAUGAUGAACAGGUGCUCUGUUUACUUACAAGUACCUAGCUUCUAUAUUAGAGUUCUUCCAGGAAUUACUAAAACUGAAUUUACUAUGUAUGGAAAGCAUAAAACUAAAGUCUAGGUAAGAGAAAGACAUGAUAUAAAGUUUGAGCUACUGUUUAUCUUGUUCCUACUACACUAAGUUUUGGAGAUUUAUUUUGAAAACUUACAAAUCACAUGAUGAGUUCCUAGCAUUGCAAACUACCUACCACAGCCAUACUUGCUAUAACAUCUUUUACUAUAUUUACAUUGAGUUUGAUCGAGCUGUGUAGACCCUUAGGAGCUUUUCAUGUGGUUAAAUUAAGAUAUUCACUUGCACACAUCUACCACAGCAUUCAUCACCAAUCAUUAAAAUUGCUAAAAAUAUUAUCACUCACUGUCCCAAAUAUUGUUAUUCUCUCUCUCUGAAAAGAUUUAAUGCAGAAGAGGCAUGGGUUAUGCAAAAAUAUACGAGGAAAUAAAAAGGGGCAAGUGCCCGGAACCUCGGAAAAGAAAGAAAAAGAGUGAGACGAGAGGUAAAAAUGGACAAGUGUCCGAAGUAGAAUUAGGGGUACAAAGAUGCCCACUUGAGCGGAAAAAAUGGUCAAGUGUCCGACAGUAGAAUUAGGGGUAUCUACUACCCACCUGAAAAAAAAGAGAAAAAAAUAGCCCAUGUUCUCCCAAAGCAAAGAUCAAAGAAGAGGAGAGAUAGCAAUAUGAGGAGCAAUGAGAAGUAAGUUUUAUUAUCACUUAUAUAUCUUCACCAUCACUAUCAUUUACUCCACCACACAUGCACAUCUUGACUUAAUUAUAUGCUGAGUUCCUUUGGAUCCAUGGCUCGAUUAGACAACAUAUGUAUGAGCUGUUUUUCACUCCUAUGAGCUCCACUUAAAUAUUCCAUUAUCUAUAGGUAAGUGACAUUAUGGUAAGGAUCCACAAAUACCACAUAUAGAGAGACUUGAGAGAUCAUUGCUGGGAACUCUGAGUUUUAUUUUGAAAAUUUAUGAAAAACUCUGGAACAAAGGUGAAGUAUAGACAGGAGGGAUAGUGCUUGGCUUAACUAUUUUGUCUUUCGAUUACUUAAGACUUAAGUGCAGGUACUAAACUCCAUAACACUUCACUCUAAUCUGGAAGAAUUUUUAUGUAAAAGCAUGUGUGCCUGUCAGGAAAGAAAAUAUCGAAGCAACUCCUGAUCCAUCUGAGUUUAGCUAUUUGCUUAGGGACAAGCAAAGGGUAAGCUUGGGGGAGUUUGUUGACGGUCCUUAAGUACUAAAAUUAAUAAUCAAAUAAACAUGGAAAAGGAUCAAUAUGAAACAAACAUCUAGAAUUAGGGUUUUAUCUGACAGAAUUCCACGAGCUUUGGUGUUUAUCUAUUUCUGCAGGG